UCUCGAUUGGUCUAGUGGUCAGGAUACCUGCUUGUCAUCCUAUGGUUUAAUCUACCUACCUACCUACCUGCUUGGUAUGGGCUUUUCUUACCGUCUUAUAGAAAUUCGCAGGUGGCCGGGGUUCGAUUCCCCGAUCGAGAG